UCGCUCAGCCGCCGCGGGGCAGAGCCUGGGUUGGUCACCGUGCCCACUCCGUAGGGCAGAGCCCCUGCCUCUUCGCUCACACUGCUCCAGGCCCCCGGGACCGGCUGGAGCUACCCGACCGAUUCCUCCCGGUUGCUGUGCGAGCGACGGUGGCAAUGGCGUCGGAAUCUCGCAACGGAUCCCCCAACUGAGCCCGCUGUCCCGACCCAGCCGGCACCGGUGGAUUGGUUUCAUUUGGAUUAAUCAGUUUGGAGCAAAAGGACAUGACUGAAAUAUCUUUUCAGAGGAAAUGUUACCAGCUUGGCUGUUAGCAACUCCAAAAGUGAGAUUCCUAUGAAGAGCUCAGAGAAAAGCAUUUUGAAGUAUAUGCCCAGCAAAACUCAUCUCAUCUCAAGGGUGUUAUUCACCUCUCUUCUGCCUCUGCCUAUGAGUUUGGUCAGCCA